rnacentral:tRNA from 1 species
GCCGGAGUGGUGGAAUUGGCAGACACAAGGGACUUAAAAUCCCUCGAUGCUUGCGCGUCGUGCCGGUUCGAUUCCGGCCUCCGGCA